UACGUAGGAAGCAAGCGUUGUCCGGAAUCACUGGGCGUAAAGCGCGUGUAGGCGGAGAGGUAAGUCUGCUGUGAAAGCCCCUGGCUCAACCGGGGGAGGUCGGUGGAAACUACUUCUCUCGAGGUCAGUAGAGGAAGAUGGAAUUCCCGGUGUAGUGGUGAAAUGCGUAGAGAUCGGGAGGAACACCUGAGGCGAAGGCGGUCUUCUGGGCUGCACCUGACGCUGAGACGCGAAGGCGCGGGGAGCGAACGGG
rnacentral:rRNA from 1 species